GGAAUCUGUAGUUCUACUACAUCAGCCAGUGUCCCAAUGGAAAGAAAGAUAAUUGGUAAGAGCUUGUUGUGCUAGACGGUGGGCAUCAUUGACAGCUUGUCUCGGAACCUUCUUGAGUUCACAGAAAGAUAAAUAAGUAGCAAGUGAUUGGAUCUCGUGAACCAGCGGCUGUAGAUCAUACGGAGGGAUUUUCUCGCCUGAAAUCUGCAAUGGUUGCUGUCAAGAGCUACUAAGCCAAUACCACUCCAUAACGCAGAUUCUUUCCAUGACCCAUCCACAAUAAGAAUGACUAGGGUCUGACAUGAGAUUGUGGGAUCAGAUGAGUGAGUCAGAUCGGUUGUUGUGAGGUGCAUGAGUGAAUUGGAGGUUGAUUCAAAUGAAUGUGUAGAAUAAAAUUCAGAUUCAGAGUGGAUUGAAGCUUUAUGAAACCAAAUGGCUGUAUCCCAAGCUAUUCUGAUGAUGGAGUGAGGUGAAAAUGAUUCAUUCUGAAA
rnacentral:misc_RNA from 1 species